rnacentral:rRNA from 2 species
UACGAAGGGGGCUAGCGUUGUUCGGAAUUACUGGGCGUAAAGCGCGCGCAGGCGGUUCUUCAAGUCAGUGGUGAAAGCCCGGAGCUCAACUCCGGAACUGCCAUUGAAACUGUAGAACUUGAGGACGAGAGAGGUGAGUGGAAUUCCCAGUGUAGAGGUGAAAUUCGUAGAUAUUGGGAAGAACACCGGUGGCGAAGGCGGCUCACUGGCUCGUUUCUGACGCUCAGGCGCGAUAGCGUGGGGAUCAAACAGG